rnacentral:rRNA from 1 species
UUCCUGGGGAAGGCUCGUCCUCCCAGGGUUAGUCGGGACCUAAGCCGAGGCCGAAAGGCGUAGGUGAUGGACAACUGGUUGAUAUUCCAGUACCACCAUAAUGCGUUUGACAAAUGGGAUGACGCAGGAGGAUAGGAUGUGCGCACUAUUGGAUGUGCGUCUAAGCACUUAGGGUGUUAAGUAGGCAAAUCCGCUUAAUAUUAAGCCUGAGGUGGGAUGGGGAGCCUAUUUUGGCGAAGUAUCUGAUUCCACGCUGCCAAGAAAAGUCUCUAUGGAGCAAAAUGGUGCCCGUACCGCAAACCGACACAGGUAGAUGAGGAGAGAAUCCUAAGGUCGUCGGAAGAAUUAUUGCUAAGGAACUCGGCAAAUUGACCCCGUAACUUAGGGAGAAGGGGUGCCUACGAGAGUAGGCCGCAGUGAAUAGGCUCAAGCAACUGUUUAUCAAAAACACAGGUCUCUGCUAAAGCGCAAGCUGAUGUAUAGGGGCUGACGCCUGCCCGGUGCUGGAAGGUUAAGGGGAAUAGUUAGCGCAAGCGAAGCUAUGAACUUAAGCCCCAGUAAACGGCGGCCGUAACUAUAACGGUCCUAAGGUAGCGAAAUUCCUUGUCGGGGAAGUUCCGACCCGCACGAAUGGCGUAAUGAUUUGAGCACUGUCUCGGCAAUAAAUCCGGUGAAAUUGUAGUGCAAGUGAAGAUGCUUGCUACCCGCGGUUGGACGGAAAGACCCCGUAGAGCUUUACUGUAGCUUAGCAUUGAAUUUCGGUAUUGUCUGUACAGGAUAGGUGGGAGACUUAGAAGCGAGGGCGUCAGCUUUCGUGGAGU